ensembl:lncRNA
UUUGGCAUUUGAAAAGAACUUUAUCUUAAUGAAAAUUGCUGGGCAAAUUCCUGAACUUACAUACACUGCUGCACACCUAAAUUAACUCCAUUUAUGCUUUGUAUAGCCUCAUAUUACCUGGAUCAAAAUGUCACUUAUUGCUGUUCAGAAACUGCAGCUUUGCUUCCAAGAGAUCUCCUGGAGGGAUGCCAUCAGUCAGUAGACAGAAAUCAUAGAAACAGAGAAUAUCCUGAGUUGGAGGGGGCCCAUGAGGAUCAUCAAGUCCAACUCCUGACUCCACAAACGACCGUCCAAAAAUCAGACCACAUGCCUGAUGGGAUGAAGACAGUCAUUGGCAGGUGGGUACUCUGCGCAGUGCUCUUAGUAAUGACCAUGUGGACAUUUACCUCCCCAGCAGCAUUCCUCAUUGUUGUGGUUCUCACAGCCUCUGUCUCUGCUCUGCUGGCAAUCACCUUGCAUGGGAAAUCAGGUAAUUAAAUGAAGCCCUGCCACUUUGGUGUCCACAGACCCCACACAGUGGAGCUCACUCUGCCUGCACCUUGCAGGAUGGGCACAACUUCUGAUAGGAAUUCACCACCUUUACUAUUAGAAUUCAUGAGCGUUUUGGUUUUUUUUUGUUUUUUGUUUUUUUUUUUCUCAUUAAUCUGUGUAGCACUCAAAAUGCGGAAAUCCAAGAUGGCUUUGACAAAAUCUAGGUGGUAUUACUAUUAAAAAAAAAAUUGCCCUGGAAGAAAAGGCCAUCAAUAAUUCCUAAACACAAACAUAUGGAUAGAGUCUCUGACCAAGUAAGUCUUUAAACUUCUAGCUGUCAUAUAUUAUAACUGUAUCAUAUUGUUGCAUCUUUUUCCUAG